rnacentral:rRNA from 1 species
UACGUAGGGGGGCUAGCGUUGUCCGGAAUCAUUGGGCGUAAAGCGCGUGUAGGCGGUCCGGUAAGUCCGCUGUGAAAGUCGGGGGCUCAACCCUCGGAUGCCGGUGGAUACUGUCGGGCUUGAGUACGGAAGAGGCGAGUGGAAUUCCUGGUGUAGCGGUGAAAUGCGCAGAUAUCGGGAGGAACACCAAUAGCGAAGGCAGCUCGCUGGGACGUUACUGACACUGAGGCGCGAAAGCGUGGGGAGCGAACGGG